rnacentral:rRNA from 1 species
UCCCUCGUUCAGUGCGGCAUGCUUUACAGCUUAGAACCGGGGCUCCAAAAGCGUUUUGAGCACCACGGAGCAUAUGAGAUGUUCGAAGAGCUGAAACUGGUUUUUCAAGCUCAUGCCCGGGUCGAGAGAUAUGAUGUCUCCGACAAGUUCUACAGUUGUAAGAUGGAGGAAAACAGUUCUGUCAGUGAGCACAUCCUGAAGAUGUCUGGGUUGCACAACCGUAUGACCCAGCUGAACAUUAACCUCCCAGAUGAGGCGGUCAUUGACAGAAUCCUCCAGUCGCUCCCACCAAGCUACAAGAGCUUUGUGAUGAACUACAACAUGCAGGGGAUGGAAAAGACCAUUCCUGAAGUGUUCUCGAUGCUGAAGUCAGCAGAGGCUGAAAUCAAGAAAGAACAUCAA